UUUUUUUCUAGUCUCAGGUACCUUCUUGUCCUAUUAUUUUUACUGAUAUUUUUUGCUUUUAUACUACUACACCUGGGCUUUUAUAGCCUCUGCCUAAACAGAAAGUGCUUCUUGUCUUUUGAUGAACAAUCAGUCCAUCUAUUUUCAUGUAUUUUUUGCUCAGAGCCUUUUGCUUCAUUUACUUUUCUCCUCAUUCUCGUUUUUAAAUUCCAACUUAAGUAUUCGAGUUAAGGUUUACAUUAUUUCAGAUGGUUGAGGCUGCCAAAGAAGGCUGAUCCUUAGUUCCCUGGAAGUUACUUUACAUUCUGAUUGUACUUUAUUCCUUACUUUUGUGAUUUUAUAUUUAAGGGAUAAUUACUUUGUACAAUGAUAUGGUUAGGCUUUGUGUCCCCAUCCAAAUCUCAUCUUAAACUGUAAUCCUCAUAAUCCCCAUAAUCCCCAUGUGUCAAGGGAGAGAACAGGUGGAGGUAACUGAAUCCUGGGGGUGGUUUCCCCAUGCUUUUCUCAUAAUAGUGAGUUAGCACAAGAUGUGAUGGUUUUAUAAGGGACUCUUUCCCCCUUCACUCAGCACUUCUUCCUGUCACCUUGUGAAGAAGGUACCUUGCUACUCUUCACCUUUCACCAUGAUUGCAAGUUUCCUGAGGUCUCCCUAGCAACGUGCAACUGUAAGUCAAUUAAACCUCUUUCCUUUAUAAGUUACCCAGUCUUGGGUAUUUCUUCAUAGCAUUGUUAAAACGGACUAAUACACACAUAUAAUUAUUUUCAUUGCCAUUAACCUUCUACCCUUAGUUACCAGGGUAACUGGUAACUAUGGCCUAAAGUCAGACCAGUUGUUUUCACUCAAGGAGGGGUUGGAGAAACACUGGAUGUAUCUCCAUCAGUCACAAGGAGUAAUACAAUCUAAUAUUACUAAUAAUAAAGCACAAAUAUUUUAAAUGGAUGACAAAUUAUCACUUUAACAAAUCACUCUUGAGCACGCCUUAUGAUUUCUUGAGUGGGAAAGAAAGAGGUAGUGAUAUGACUAGCAUAACACAAAGCUUAACUUAUAAUGCUAGAGCCAUUAAUCUGUAGGCUAGAAUGAACAUGUGUUCCAUAUAUGAGUGUUAUAUGUCACAUAUGUCUCAGACAAUCAAGGUUGAAAAUGAUUGGUUUAGUCAAAGGAUAAUCAAUUCAAAUAUAUCCAGGGCCAGAUGGAGCUGUGGUACAUAUGAAGCUCUUGGCAAAAGGAAUAAGACAGAGGGGUUGGGAGGGGAGAGUGGUGAAAUGAACAGUGCAUGUGCUAGUUCAAGAGUUUAAAUCCAGUUUUGUUUGUGUUUUAAAUACUGGAAAAAUGAAACAAAAAUCUAUAAACCAGAUCUGGACUGCAGGCUCAGUAAGGUCCAUGUUCAUAUUAUGCUUGAAUUAAGUUAUUUAGCAUCAAUAAUUAAAAGUAAAAUGAAGCAGUACCUUACUUCUUUCCAACAGUGCAGCAGCAAGAGCCUCUGCAGUGGGCAUUCAUAAUAUUUCUAGUGCUCAGCACCUGAACCCCCUUCCUCUGAUUAGGAAACUCUUCUCUCAUGAGUCUUGGUGGGAGCAGAAUUCAGCUUUUUCUCAAGCUGAAAAUGUCAGGAACUCACUUGCUGGGCCUUUCUGCAGUAAGGGUGUGGCACACAACCUAAGCUUCAUCGAUCAGACACAUUUUCCCAGAAUUAGGGGGUCCAACCAGAACUGUUGGCAGCAGAGAAUUCAGGAAAUAAAGUUUCUGGGGUAACAGCAGCAAUGCCAUCUGUGUUCACAGAAUAAGAACUGCAUUAGGUGUUGGACAGAAAAGAGUUAAUAUAGCAGAUAUGAGACUGAUACCCUUAAAAAUUUGGUCUGCCUAUGAAGUCAGACCUUGACUGGUAUCUAGGAACAUAGAUCUUGGAAGGGUUCCCCCAUUCCCUAAGUACUACAUUGUGUGUACACACAACAUAAUUUACGCUAAAUACUUGUUUUCCUUCUAAGAGUUUGGAAUUUUGGUAUGCACCUCGCAGAGGAUGCCGACAUGACCAGCCCCCAAUAAAAACCUGGGUACUGAGUCUCUAAUGACCUUCCUUGGUAGAUAACAUGUCAGCUCUAUUGUCAAAACUCUUUAUUAGAGAAAUUAGAAGUACCCUCUGUGACUUCACUAGUGGAAGACUCUUGGAAACUUUCACUGGGUUUCUCCCAAUCAUUGUUCCAUGUACAUUUUCCCUUUGCUGAUUUUGUUUGAUAUCCUUCCACUAUAAUAAAUCACAGCCAUGAACACAACUAUGUUGAGUCCUGUAAUUCCUCCUAGCAAGUCAUCAAAACUGGGAGCGGUCUUAGGGGCCCCCAAGACAGGCAUCAAUGGAAGUGGCAUCUUCCACAGUCCAUUUAGGUAGUAUAAUUUGGCUGUGUAAACUUGAAUCUGUUUCCUAAACCUCCUGGCAAUUUUGUGAGCUAUCCAGCAUUCCUUAUGUAAAUACUCUUCCCUUUAAAUCAGUCAGAAUUUAUUUCUGUUGCUUGCAACUUUAGAACCACAUCUGAUACAACCUCCAACUUGGCUUAGGAUGUCUUCACUCUUAUUCACCUUUAUGAAUGCCUCUCAUGUUACUCUUUCCCAACUAAGGACUAUAUGGCGGCUUCACAUUAUCCAAGAAUCUUAACAUCCAAUCAUCUUUAGCAGUCAGAAUUAUAGUACUAAUGCUAAUGCACUCCUCUAUUCCUGAACACCAUUUCUCAACUCCGGCCAAGUUUACCUACUAAACUUCCCUAUAAUCUCUACUAUCUGCCUUUUGCUCAUGCUAGCCAGAAUCUACCUUCAAUUUUACACAAUAAGUCAAUCUCCAAACAAGUUGUAAUUAAUUGAUUUUCUUAUAGGCUCACUGGCUGGAGAAUAAUCUGGACCCAGGAUUGGUAUCAUCUUCUAGUGUCCUUAUUGCUGAUAAUUAAUAUUGACUCUCCUAUCUGCCCAUCUCAGACCCUGACCUCCUGCUGACAUAAAUUUAUGACCUGUCAGACCUGUAUGUGCAAGGAGUCCUUAUCUAGUCAACUUCAAGAUUCAAAUAAUGGGCAUCUACUUUAGUUGGAACUGCCUGGCUGUCAUAAUCAUGAUACCUAUCUGGGACCUCUUCUAUUCUACCACCAUGUAAAGAGGUCUAUUCAACCACCAUGUAAAGAGAUAGGUAUCUGGGACCUCUUCUAUUCUACCACACUGUAAAAAUUCUGUUUGCUCCUCUCACUUUUACUAUCAACAAUCCACAUUUUCUUAGCUGAUAACAGGUUUAGAUUAUUAACUGUGAAGAGUAAGGAAUAACAUAUUAAGAUGUAUAUGAUCAAUAAAAACAUAAGGUGAUAAUGGACAGAGAUGUGAGAAACCAUUAAAGAUGACAGGGGAUACUAACAUAAAUAUAUUCUAAGUAUAUUUUGGAGAUUUACAUAUUCCUAGAGUAAAAUCAUAUAUAAUAUUAAAUAAACACUUCUAUAAAGGCAGGGACACCAAAAAACAGAAACAGGAAGAAAGAGUAGACUUUUGAAGCAGAUGAGUAAGGUGGGACCCUUCCAAGAGUGAAAAAGAACUGCCACUUACAGCUAAAUAUUUGUCUAUUAAUAUCCCAAUUCAUAGCUAUACUCAACACAAUGGUUUCAAGAAAUGCACAUCAAGGCAAUUCUACAGCAGAUUUCUACCACCAAUUCCCACAAGGAGCCUUCUCUGAUAUCACUUCAUGCUCAGGCAUACAAAUGUAUUUUUCAGUGGCAGAGGUUCUGUUUAGUGUUUGUUUGUUUCUCCUUUACCUUGGACCUCAUCCUCUCAUACUCUCUUCCUUGCUAUUUUUUAGGUGAAGAAUAGGAAGAAACAAUAAACCCUAAAUCUGUACCAACAAGCCACACGCCUUUAUUUCUAUUUAGACUCAGUUCUUUACUAACUGGUUUUAUGUUGUUGCGAAAAUUAAUUACUGAGUGAAUUUCUUUUAAAAACUCACAUAUUACCAUGUCUUAUCUCAUUCUAUUAAAAUAUUUCAUUUUAAAAAAAUUCUGUCACAAACUUCUUUGAUUUUUUAAACCAUCCUCAAUAUAAUUCACCAAUAUACUUUCAUGUUUCAUAUGUUUUAAUUUUAUAAAUAUUUGAGAAAAAUAAAAACACCUGAUUCUUCUUCUUACCUUUAACUUCCACAAUAAAUAAUAUAAAGGUAAACACACAGUAGCCAGUUAAUGGAAAAAUUGUUUAACAAUCAUGAUCUACAGAGCUGGGAAGAAAGGAACUAGCUAGCUUACACUUGGUUACUAGAACUAAAUAACUUUAUGCAAGAAAAUACAAUCACAUAUACUAGUCAGUAGACUUAAUGAGGCAUUUAUGAAGUGUUAGAUAGACCAUCCUUAUCUCCAACCUGUACCCACCUGCCCCUCAAAAGAUUUUCCAAAGCUGUUGUGAAUAAUGGAUAAGAGGUAUGUAUUACAGAGUCAAACUGCCUGGCCAAAUUCUGUCUUUCAAGCUCACUUAAGAGAUCUUCAGUAAAUGUACUCAACCCCCUAAGCCUCAGCUUUCUUAUAUGAAAAAUAGUGAUAAUGAUGCUCUUUUAUAACCCUAUUUUAGUGAAUAAAUAGGAUAAUACUUAGCAUAUUACUUGACUCAAAUUAAGUACUCAGUAAAUAUUAUUGUCAAAAUGAGAAUUAGCCAUUCAUUUAGAGUUGAGGCUAGGAGGGAAUAAAACAUCAA
rnacentral:lncRNA from 1 species